rnacentral:misc_RNA from 1 species
GGAUGGAUCAUUACCAAAGAUUUUUACAAGUCUUGUGAACUGUUUUGAAUAUCACCGUUGGGGUGCAAUGUUUGGUGUAGCCUGGGUAACACCGUGGCAUGACCAAUCUGACCACCUCGACGGUACACUUACACGUAUAUAACUUUAACCUGACGUCUACUUUAGUAGUAAAUCAAACUAAAGACAACUUUUAGCAACGGAUCUCUUGGCUCUCGCAACGAUGAAGAACGCAGCGAAAUGCGAUACGUAAUGUGAAUUGCAAGCACCGUGAAUCAUCAAAUCUUUGAACGCACAUUGCACUGCCUGGAAUUCCGGGCAGUAUACCUGUUUGAGUAUCAGUAACACUCUUCACUAGUUGUCCUUAUAAAGACGCUAGUGUAGGACUUGGGAGGUCGUUUUCGUAAGAGAGCGCCGCCUUAAAUGUAUUUGAGGUUGACUAAGCGGAAGCUUGACGCGCCGACAGAGUUAAUAGGUUUUCGGACCUUGAUCUGCUGGUUACUCAUGUCCAAGUUUAUUAGACUUCAUUAAACAACCCAACAGUAAUAAGCAAGGGUGAUUCCUUGAAAUGGACUGUGACAAUGAUCUCAAAUCAGGUAAGAUUACCCGCUGAACUUAAGCAUAUUAAUAAGCGGAGGAAAAGAAACUAACAAGGAUUCCCCUAGUAAUGGCGAAUGAAGCGGGAACAGCUCAAAUUUAAAAUCUCUUCGGAGAGUUGUAGUUUAAAGAAGUGCUUUCGCAGGUAGUUCCGGGUACAAGUCCCUUGGAAUAGGGUAUCAUAGAGGGUGAGAAUCCCGUCUCUGAUCCGGUAACUACCGCAAUGUGAUGCACUCUCAAAGAGUCGGGUUGUUUGGGAAUGCAGCCCUAAGUAGGUGGUAUAUUUCAUCUAAAGCUAAAUACAGGCGAGAGACCGAUAGCGAACAAGUACCGUGAGGGAAAGAUGAAAAGAACUUUGAAAAGAGAGUUAAACAGUACGUGAAAUUGCUAAAAGGGAAACGCUUGAAAUCAGUGUUGGUGUUGAGAAAUCAACUGUUCAGUAAUGGCCGGUGCACUUUCUCAAUGCCAGGUCAACAUCAGUUUUGGUUUGGGUAAAUUAUCGCAGGAAGGUGACUCCUCUCGGGGAGUGUUAUAGCCUGCGUGACUACUUGGACUGGGACUGAGGACUGCAGCGCAUGCCGUAAGGCUGGUGAACCGUGUACUACUUGUAGGCUCCUUGCAGACAACUUGUUGACUGUAAAGUGACUACUUGUACUUGCGCGGCUAGCACAUAUGCGCUAAGGAUGUUGACGAAAUGGUUUUAAGCGACCCGUCUUGAAACACGGACCAAGGAGUCUAACACAUAUGCGAGUAUUUGGGUGUCAAGCCCAUAUGCGUAAUGAAAGUAAAGUAGGUGGGAUCCCGCAAGGGUGCACCAUCGACCGGUCUUGAACUUUUGUAAUAGAUCUGAGUAAGAGCACAUGUGUUAGGACCCGAGAGAAGGUGAACUAUGCCUGAAUAGGGCGAAGCCAGAGGAAACUCUGGUGGAGGCUCGUAGCGGUACUGACGUGCAAAUCGUUCGUCAAAUUUGGGUAUAGGGGCGAAAGACUAAUCGAACCUUCUAUUAGCUGGUUCCCUC